AGGACAAGAAGGCCAUGCUGGACAACAAAGGCUCUAUGACCCAGUAAAUUCAAAGCAGGGCUCGAGAUGGCUCACUCCUCAAAGAACACAUGACAGCAAACAGACAAGCAUUUACCCGGGGCAAAAGGCCCAUCUGUGCUCCUAGACCCAUGCCCUAUAAGGAGAUCCCCCACCUUCUUCUUGCCAUCAGAACCAGAUAUACCACCUGAUGGGUGCACUUUACACCACAGCAUGAGGGGAAGAGUGGCCUGAAGCCCAAAGAACUGGCAUGGACCACACUCCUCCCCAGCCACACCAAAAAGGUACCAUCUCCUGACACACAAUCUGAUGGCAAGGCCCCACAGGGACACUAUAGUGGCUGAGCGUACGGUGGGCCUAACGGGGAGGCCACCCAGAGAAAAGGCACGCAGGCCUGACCUGUCUG
rnacentral:lncRNA from 1 species